AUACGUAGGGGGCGAGCGUUAUCCGGAUUCAUUGGGCGUAAAGCGCGCGUAGGCGGCCCGUUUGGUCGGGAGUUAAAUCCGGGGGCUCAACCCCCGCCCGCUCCCGAUACCGGCGGGCUUGAGGGUGGGAGGGGAAGGCGGAAUUUCAAGUGUAGCGGGGGGAGGCGCAGAGAUUUGGAAGAACACCGGUGCGGAAGGCGGCCUUCUGGGCCACAGCUGACGCGGAGGCGCGAAAGCGAGGGGGGCGAAAAGGAUUAGAUACCCGGUGAGUCCUAGCCGUAAACGAUGGACACUAGGUGUGGGGGGAUGGGCCCUCCGUGCCGCAGCUAACGCAUUAAGUGUCCCGCCUGGGGAGUACGGCCGCAAGGCUAAAACUCAAAUGAAUUGACGGGGG
rnacentral:rRNA from 1 species